AUGCUUUAUACAUGCAAGUCGAACGAAGGCCCUAGCUUGCUAGGUGUCCUUAGUGGCGCACGGGUGAGUAACACGUGGGAACAUACCUUAUAGUACGGAAUAACUGCGGGAAACUGUAGCUAAUACCGUAUAUUCCAGUAAUGGGAAAGAUUUAUCGCUAUAAGAUUGGCCCGCGCAAGAUUAGCUUGUUGGUGAGGUAAAAGCUCACCAAGGCUUCGAUCUUUAGCUGGUUUGAGAGGAUGAUCAGCCACACUGGGACUGAGACACGGCCCAGACUCCUACGGGAGGCAGCAGUAGGGAAUAUUGGACAAUGGGGGCAACCCUGAUCCAGCAAUGCAGCGUGAGUGACGAAGGCCUUAGGGUUGUAAAACUCUUUCAUCGGUGAGGAUAAUGACAGUAGCCGAAGAAGAAGGACCGGCUAAU
rnacentral:rRNA from 1 species